rnacentral:lncRNA from 1 species
UUGAAUUCCGUUUUGGAAGCAAAGAUGAUCCGCCAUAUCAUUUAGUUUUACAAAGUUAGACUGUCGCCAAAAAACACUGCAUAAUAGUACUUAAUCAAGCUUACACAACACUUGAAGUUUAUUACAGGAUCUUCAUACCUGUCUACUCAUAGUAAAAGAACAGAAAGAAAUAUUGAUCUUUAUAGCUGUUCUGGUGAGACAACGGUAAGAAACACACCAGACCUUUAUUGAUUAAGGAACAACUAGCGACUAAAUGCAGCUCUUAUGGUGUACAGGAGGUACGUGGUAGCAAUGGGCCAUGGUACGUAGAAGGUGGCAGGUUUGUUGGUGGGGUGGAUGGUCUAGUUUAUGGAGUACUAAGCAGAAGCCCAUAUGGAGGAGGAGAAGGGGGUGAAUAUGUAGUUGGUGGUGAUGGUGGUUGGCCAUAAGUAGGUGUAGGUGGUCGUGGCUGCCUAUGAGGAGGAGGCGGCGAGUGAAUUUGUCUUGGCGGAGGAGCAGAGAAAGUCGGUGGUGAUGGUGGCUGGCCAUAAGUAGGUGUAGGUGUUCGUGGCUGCCAAUGAGGAGGAGGCGGUGAGUGAAUUUGUCUUGGCGGAGGAGGAGAGAAAGUCGGUGGUGAUGGUGGCUGGCCAUAAGUAGGUGUAGGUGGCCGUGGCUGCCUAUGAGGAGGAGGAGGCAAGUGAAUUCGUCUUGGCGGAGGAGGAGAGAAAGUCGGUGGUAGUGGCUGCACUUGGGGAGGCGGAGGCGAGUAAAUUGGUGAUGGUGGCGGUGGUGAGUAUGCAGGUGGAGGAGGUGAGUAUGUUGGUGGAGGUGGUGGUGGUUGUGCAUAUGCAGGGGGAGGAGGCGAGUAUGUAGGUGGAGGAGGAGAAUACGUUGGCGGUGGUGGUGGUGAGUAUGCAGGUGGAGGAGGCGAGUAUGUUGGUGGAAGCGGUGGUGGUUGUGCAUAUGUAGGGGGAGGAGGCGAGUAUGUAGGUGGAGGAGGAGAAUAUGUUGGUGGUGCAGGCAAAGGAGGGGAAUACGCUGGUGGAGGUGGAGGUGAUUGUCCAUAUGUGGGUGGAGGUGGCGAGAAGGAUGGUGGUGGUGGAGGAGGUGAGUAAAUUGGUGAUGAUGGCGGUGGUGGUGGCAAAUAUGUAGGUGGAGGAGGGGAAUAUGAUGGUGGUGGCGGUGGUGAGUAUACGGGCGGAGGAGGCGAGUAAAUUGGUGAUGAUGGCAGUGGCAAAUAUGUAGGUGGAGGAGGGGAGUACGUUGGUGGUGGUGAGUAUGCUGGAGGAGGAGGCGAGAAAGUUGGUGUUGGUGGUGGAGAUGGUGAGUAUGCAGGUGGAGGAGGCGAGUAAAUUGGUGAUGGUGGUGGUGGAGAGUAUGUAGGUGGAGGAGGCGAGUACGUUGGUGAGGGUUGGGGUGAUUGUGCAUAUGCAGGUGGAGGAGGUGAGUAAGUUGGUGGUUGUGGCUGCCUACGGGGAGAAGGUGGUAGAUGUCUUAGGGGUGAAGGUUGAUGAGUAGGUGGUGCAUGUCGAUGAGUAGGUGGUGCAUGUCGAUGAGUGGGUGGUUGUGGUUGAUGUCCACGUGAAGGUGGUGAUGGUGUUGGUUGUACGUGUGUAGGUGGAGGAGGUGAGUAAGUCGGUGGUGGUUGCACUUGAGGAGAAGGCGAAUAAAUUGGUGUCGGCGGUGGUUGUGCAUAUGUAGGUGGUGGAGGAUGUCCAUGUCGACUCGGAGGUGAAGGUUGACGAUGGCUUGGGGGGUGUUGUCCUCUAGGUGGUGUGUGCCCUCCGGAGGGUGGUGCAUGUCCAUGAGAAGGUGAAGGUGGUCUUUGCCCAUGCGAUGGUAGAUGGCCGCCACCAUGAGAGGGUGGAGGUGCACCAUAGGACGGUGGCGGAUGACUUGGAGAAAUCACAGGAGAUG